UACGAAGGGGGCUAGCGUUGCUCGGAAUCACUGGGCGUAAAGCGCACGUAGGCGGAUUGCUAAGUCAGGGGUGAAAUCCUGGAGCUCAACUCCAGAACUGCCUUUGAUACUGAAGAUCUUGAGUUCGGGAGAGGUGAGUGGAACUGCGAGUGUAGAGGUGAAAUUCGUAGAUAUUCGCAAGAACACCGGUGGCGAAGGCGGAUCUCUGGGCCUUGCCUGACGCUGAGGCGCGAAAGCUAGGGGAGCGAACAGG
rnacentral:rRNA from 1 species